rnacentral:lncRNA from 1 species
GGAUUAAUUAUGAAAAUAUCACAAAAUAAAAGGGUAGAACACAAAAGGUACUUCAAAAAUGUUAAUAUAGAUAACAUAUAUAAAAUAGAAAAUACAUAACAUAUCUAUGCUGGUUAAAAAACAUAUUUUAUUUUAUUUUAUUGAUAAAUCACACAAUAUGUGAAUUCAAACUUAUUUAAUUACACACACUAACAAAAUUUGCACAAAAGUGAUUUGUACUUAUUUAGUAUUGUUAUAUAUAUAUAUAUAUAUAUAUAUAUAUAUAUAUAUAUAUACAUUUACUACCAAUUUUUAUUCAAUGAAUUUUUAAACUUGGUGAUUUGAUGAUGGUCUUACACAAGUAUGGCUUAAUCUUUGAGACAAGGAUAUGACUAUUGGCAGGAUCAACCAUGAAGCCUUCAUCGGCGAUUCCCCGCCACGUUUAAUUUUCGUAUCCACAAUAAAAUCUGCAGUGGCAUUCUGGUUGUCCUUUAUUGGGUGCAAGCGUCUUUGGCCGGCAAGUACCAACCCCGCCGGUGGAUUUCUUGUUACAUAGAGAGCCACACAAUUCCCAGUCACAUUUUCCACCCUUGGAAGCAUCUUUUAGAACUUCAAAACAAGUACUUUGUCCCAACGUUUCCUUCACCAUCACCCCUAAUUGUACGUAGUAAAAUAUUCA